rnacentral:rRNA from 1 species
GACGAACGCUGGCGGCGUGCUUAACACAUGCAAGUCGAACGGAAAGGCCCUGCUUUUGUGGGGUGCUCGAGUGGCGAACGGGUGAGUAACACGUGAGUAACCUGCCCUUGACUUUGGGAUAACUUCAGGAAACUGGGGCUAAUACCGGAUAGGAGCUCCUGCUGCAUGGUGGGGGUUGGAAAGUUUCGGCGGUUGGGGAUGGACUCGCGGCUUAUCAGCUUGUUGGUGGGGUAGUGGCUUACCAAGGCUUUGACGGGUAGCCGGCCUGGGAGGGUGACCGGCCACAUUGGGACUGAGAUACGGCCCAGACUCCUACGGGAGGCAGCAGUGGGGAAUAUUGCACAAUGGGCGGAAGCCUGAUGCAGCAACGCCGCGUGCGGGAUGACAGCCUUCGGGUUGUAAACCGCUUUCGCCUGUGACGAAGCGUGAGUGACGAUAAUGGGUAAAGAAGCACCGGCUAACUACGUG